rnacentral:rRNA from 1 species
GAGUCGGACCUGCCCAGUGAAUUAAGUUUUCAACGGCCGCGGUACUCUGACCGUGCAAAGGUAGCAUAAUCAUUUGCCCUAUAAUUGAGGGCUAGUAUGAAUGGUUUGACGUGAGCAAAACUGUCUCUAUAUAAAUUUCUAGAACUUGAUUUUUAGGUGAAGAAACCUAAAUUCUAUUGAUAGACAAGAAGACCCUAUUGAGCUUUAAAAGAACAAGUAGAAAAUAAUAUAUAAAUCUAAAUAUUAAUCUACUUUAAAUUUUGGUUGGGGCGACUAAGGAACAAAUAAAGCUUCUUUACUACUUUUAUACCUGCAAGUUUUGAUCCAGAAAUUCUGAUUAAUGGAAUUAGUUACCAUAGGGAUAACAGCAUAAUUUUCUUUGAGAGUCCUUAUCGAAAAGAAAGUUUGUGACCUCGAUGUUGGACUAGAAUAUCCUGAAGAUGCAGCAGUCUUUAAGGGUUGGUC